rnacentral:rRNA from 1 species
GAUUAACGCUAGCGGGAGGCCUAAUACAUGCAAGUCGAGGGGCAGCACGGAUAGCAAUAUCUGGUGGCGACCGGCGCACGGGUGAGUAACGCGUACGCAAUCUACCCUUAACAGGAGGAUACCCAGAGGAAACUCUGACUAAUACUCCAUAACAUUGCAGAUUCGCAUGAAUCAGCAAUUAAAACUCCGGUGGUUAAGGAUGAGCGUGCGUCUGAUUAGCUAGUUGGUGAGGUAACGGCUCACCAAGGCUACGAUCAGUAGCUGGUCUGAGAGGAUGAUCAGCCACACUGGGACUGAGACACGGCCCAGACUCCUACGGGAGGCAGCAGUAGGGAAUAUUGGACAAUGGGCGAAAGCCUGAUCCAGCCAUCCCGCGUGCAGGAUUAAGGCCCUAUGGGUUGUAAACUGCUUUUAUCAGGAAGAAACCGAGAGAUUCAUCUCACGUUGACGGUACCUGAUGAAUAAGC